rnacentral:rRNA from 1 species
UACGUAGGCAGCAAGCGUUGUUCGGAAUUACUGGGCGUAAAGAGUGUGUAGGUGGUGUCGUAAGUUUGGUGUGAAAUCUCCCGCUUAACUGGGAGGGUGCGCCGAAGACUGCGAUGCUGGAGUAUGGGAGAGGAAAGCGGAAUUCCUGGUGUAGCGGUGAAAUGCGUAGAUAUCUGGAGGAACACCGGUGGCGAAGGCGGCAUCCUGGACCGGCAUUGACGCUGAGGCGCGAAAGCCAGGGGAGCAAACGGG